GCUGGGUAUUGUGACACAUUCCUAUAAUCCCAGCUACCAGGAAGGCUGAGACUGGUGGAUCUCUUAAGCUCUGAAGUUCUGAGCUGCAGUGGGUUAUGUUGAAUGAGUGUCCACACUAAGUUCUACAUAAGUACUGUGAAUUCCCAGGAGCAGGGGGCUACCAAGUUGUUUAAGGAAGGGACAAACCAGCCCAAGUUGGAAAAAAGAAACAGGUCAAAGUUCCUGUGCCAAUCAGUAGGGCGAUGGAGUCCAUGAGUAACCUUGCACUUCCAUCCUGGAAAAGAUGGGGAGACCCAGUCAA
rnacentral:SRP_RNA from 1 species